UAAUCUAUCUUGGUCUUCUUGGUUAAGAUCAAAUGUAGCAACAUUUUUGGCAUUCAGGAGAGACCAUUAGGGCUAGCUCUAGUCUUUUUGGUACCAGCCUGGUAUUUCACUACCUCCAGGCCUAGUGCCAGUUCC
rnacentral:snRNA from 1 species